rnacentral:rRNA from 1 species
UACGGAGGGUGCAAACGUUGCUCGGAAUCAUUGGGCGUAAAGCGCACGUAGGCGGCCUGUUAAGUCGGGUGUGAAAGCCCUGGGCUCAACCCAGGAAGUGCAUUCGAAACUGGCGGGCUUGAACAUGGAAGAGGGUCGCGGAAUUCCCGGUGUAGAGGUGAAAUUCGUAGAUAUCGGGAGGAACACCAGUGGCGAAGGCGGCGACCUGGGCCAAUAUUGACGCUGAGGUGCGAAAGCGUGGGGAGCAAACAGG